rnacentral:rRNA from 1 species
AUUGAACGCUGGCGGCAGGCCUAACACAUGCAAGUCGAACGAGUGGCGGACGGGUGAGUAAUGUCUGGGAAACUGCCUGAUGGAGGGGGAUAAAUACUGGAAACGGUAGCUAAUACCGCAUACCAUCGGAUGAACCCAUAUGGGAGUAGCUAGUAGGUAAGGUAACGGCUUACCUAGGCGACGAUCCCUAGCUGGUCGGAGAGGAUGACCAGCCACACUGGAACUGAGACACGGCCCAGACUCCUACGGGAGGCAGCGGUGGGGAAUAUUGCACAAUGGGGGCAAGCCUGCUGCAGCCCUGCCGCUUGUAUGAAGAAGGCCUUCGGGUUGUAAAGUACUUUCAGUCGGGAGGCGUUACCGACAGAAGAAGCCCCGGCUAACUCCGUGCCAGCAGCCGCGGUAAUAC